AACUUCUCUAACAGACUUUCAGCAGCCCAGCACUGUGAUGUCUAUCAACGUGGUUCCUACCUUCACUGUGGUGGAACCUGUCAGAUCACAAACAACACCUAUCCUGAAAGAGAUCAAAGAUGCAGCAAUUUUUUACUCUGUGGUUUUAUUGUGCCCGCUGUGCUGCUCAUACUGAUUCUGCCCUGGUCACAGUUUAUAAAUACAAAUGUUACAAAGUGCGAGGAGCUGGAGGCAAGAUGAACAGAGACAAUACCAAGACAGCAGAACCAGAGGAAGUGGUGUGUGUGGCAGAUAUUUAUGAAAUCGAAGAGGUAACACGGCCAAAUCAGCGGACCUCCAAACCGCAGAGCAGCUGUCAAUACCAUGAUGAGGAACAAAAUUCUGUGUACCAAAACUUCACCGCAACAGAUGAUAUCUACUGUAAUCAAAUUUAAAGGCAAUAGGAGAUGAACAGCAUCCACAUCUGUGAUCAAACCUUGCAUUUUCGGGCCACAUCUGUACAUAAAUUAUCCUUUUGUAUCUCAAUUAACAGUUAUCCAG